AGUGUGUGAGAGUGUUUAUAGUGCUGUGAGUUUAACACUUCAUCACUGACACACACAACAAUCUUCAUCAACAUGACCUUCAUCAUCAUCUUCAUCUGGACACUUUUAUACUGCUUUAUACUACAAGGAUGUAGAGCUCAGAUCACAGCAACUCAGACUCCUUCAGUGAAAACUGCUAAACCAGGAGAAACUGUAGAGAUGAGCUGUAAAUUCAGUAGUGAUGAUACAGCCUGCAGCCCAGCCUGUGUGUCCUGGUACUUACAGAAACCUGGAGAAGCUCCUAAACUCCUGAUCUAUCGUGUAAACAGCCGCCAGUCAGGAACUCCAUCUAGAUUCAGUGGCAGCAGUGGAUCUAGCAAAGAUUUCACUCUGACCAUCAGUGCAGUCCAGACUGAAGAUGCUGGACAUUAUUAUUGUAUGAGUAGCAACCGUGGUCCAGUGUUCACACAGUGAUAAAGAGUCGUACAAAAACCUCCGUCAGUCAGAGUCACAGUGACUGAACUGAAACUGCAGCUGCUCACACACACACACACAC